AUGUUGUAGAACGCUGUUUUAAGUAUAUAACUGGUGUUUACUCGGACUCGACACCAGAGUUUGUUGUAGCUACCAGAUUCAAGUAUUCUACCAACAUGAAAACUCUAGUUCUCGUCUGUCUUCUAUCCGUCGUAUGCGUCACACUGACCGUGGCCCAAAUUACCUACGUCAAGGGGCCGUGUCCUAAUGGGGUGAAAGUGGGGGGCGUGUGGUAUGAAGCAGGCUGCAAGAAAUGCAAGUGUCUCAAAGAGGCUUACACAUGCGCAGGUUGUCCAAAUAUGGAAUUUCCUGCAAAUUGUAUUGUCACAUUCGAGAACAAGGGCAACAACCCUGACUGCUGUAAGCCAACUUUUAACUGUACCAGUACCAAAGGUUGAGAAAACGGACAUGUUAUCACGAAGAAAAUAAAGAAGUGCAGCUGAUA